rnacentral:rRNA from 1 species
GACGUAGGGGGCCAGCGUUGUUCGGAAUUACUGGGUGUAAAGGGUUCGUAGGCGGUGCGGCAAGUUGGGAGUGAAAUCUCUGGGCUUAACCCAGAGGCUGCUUCCAAAACUGCUGUGCUUGAGUGUGGGAGAGGCGCGUGGAAUUGCAGGUGUAGCGGUGAAAUGCGUAGAUAUCUGGAGGAACACCGGUGGCGAAGGCGGCAUCCUGGACCGACACUGACGCUGAAAAGCGAAAGCCAGGGGAGCAAACGGG